GGAAAGUUGCAAAGCACUUUGAAGAGAGAGUUAAAGAGGACGUGAAACCGGUAGGAUGGAAACGGAUAGAGCUAGCAAAGCCGUUCGUACUCAGCUGAAAGUCGCUGACUUAGUGUCGAUUGUGUUUUCAACACACGAUUGGCGCUGUAGUUCUGUGACUGAAGUGCAUUUACGAACGAUUGCGCUGAGACUUGUGGAGCAGUUGCUGGACACUUGGCUAGAGGAAACUUCGGUUAAACCUUGCCAGGCCGACAGUUAUUUGCUCUGCUCGUAUCGGGCUUGGCCUACGAACCUUGUUGCUCAGACGAUGCUUAACAGUGAAAUCACAUGUGAUUUUGCUUUUGAGUGUCUUUUUUGUGAUUCGUGUUCACUUGCCCACUCUCGGUGUAGAAGCUGGUCAUCUAUCCGACCCGUCUUGAAACACGGACCAAGGAGUUUAGCGUAUUCGCGAGCCAUUGGGCGUUGAAAACCCACAGGCACAAUGAAAGUAAAGGCCCGGUUGCUGGGCUGACAUGUGAGUGGAAAGUCUUCGGACUACCAUGCAACAUGGUCCCGUUCUAAUUGCUUGCAAUGGAGCGGAGAUAGAGCGUAUGCGCUGAGACCCGAAAGAUGGUGAACUAUUCCUGAGCAGGACGAAGCCAGAGGAAACUCUGGUGGAAGUCCGAAGCGAUUCUGACGUGCAAAUCGAUCGUCUGACUUGGGUAUA
rnacentral:rRNA from 1 species